rnacentral:rRNA from 1 species
AUUGAACGCUGGCGGCAUGCCUUACACAUGCAAGUCGAACGGCAGCACGGGUGCUUGCACCUGGUGGCGAGUGGCGAACGGGUGAGUAAUACAUCGGAACGUACCUUAUCGUGGGGGAUAACGCAGCGAAAGCUGUGCUAAUACCGCAUACGCCCUGAGGGGGAAAGCGGGGGAUCGCAAGACCUCGCGCGAUUAGAGCGGCCGAUGCCUGAUUAGCUUGUUGGUGGGGUAAAAGCCCACCAAGGCGACGAUCAGUAGCUGGUCUGAGAGGACGAUCAGCCACACGGGGACUGAGACACGGCCCAGACUCCUACGGGAGGCAGCAGUGGGGAAUUGUGGACAAUGGGGGCAACCCUGAUCCAGCAAUGCCGCGUGAGUGAAGAAGGCCUUCGGGUUGUAAAGCUCUUUUGUCAGGGAAGAAACACCGGCUCUAACACAGUCCGGGAACGACGGUACCUGAAGAAUAAGCACCGGCUAACUACGUGCCAGCCGCCGCAGUAA